rnacentral:other from 1 species
GUUCGCUGCCGCAUAGGCAGCUAAGAAC